CGCUCGGGGGCCUUCCGUGCGCAUUGAUAUGAUUGGCCGGCGGAUAGUGGUUCUCUUUUUCUCCCCGGCUGCUUGAAGCCUCGCCGCCAUCAUGAACGACACAGUAACUAUCCGGACCAGGAAGUUCAUGACUAACCGACUACUUCAGCGGAAACAGAUGGUCAUUGAUGUUCUUCACCCUGGAAAGGCAACGGUACCUAAGACAGAAAUUCGGGAAAAACUA